AAUAUUUUUAACCGAAAAAAAAUUUAAACGAAUAUAUAAACGUUUUGGGCACCCGUUAAUUAACAAAUUAUAAUAAUUUUUAUAACGGAUAAAAAAAACAAAUUUUAAAAUUAUAAAAAUAAUUAACAAAAUUUGCCAUUUUUGCCAAAAAAAGGGAAAAACGCCCCAACGUUUUAAAUUCGCUUUAAAAAAUAUAAUCGAUUUUAAUUACAAAAUAAUCGUUAAUAUAAUAUUUUUGAAAAAACGCCCGGUAUUUUAUAUAAUUAACGCAAAUAUUAUUUUCCAAAUAAUUGAGUUUUUAACGGAUAUAUUAAUUAAAAAAACCUGGAAAACGUUAAAAUAAUAUUAAAUCGAGAUAUAUUUAAAAUUAUUUAACGUAUUACCGUUCGACCCGGAAUUUAAUUCUUAUAUAACCGAAUUCCACGCAAAAAUACGGCUAUUGGAUAAAUUAUAUAACCAAAUACCGAUAAAAAUAUAUUGGAUAAUAAAUAAAAUCGGAAAAUUCCAUAUACCGUUAAAACAAAUUUACGAAAUUAUUUGUGCCAAAUACGGUACGGAAUAUUUAUAAAAGAUUAUUUUGCAAAUAACGGUAAAAACGGUUAAUAAUAUCGCAAAACCAAACGGUUUGGUAUUAAUAUUAUUGGUAUUUGGAAUAAUAUUUAAAAUUAUAAUAAAUUUGUUUCCAAUACCCAACCAAAUAAAACAAACGGCGGUAAUUAAUAAAAUUAUAACGGAAUUACGGAAAUUUAACGUUAAAAAAAUUAAACGACGCGUUAACCGCAAAAAACGGCCCAGAAUGAUCAAACCGAUUUUUAUAUACGUUAAAAUUAAAUAUAAAAAUAUUAAUAUACCGAAGAAAAAAUAAUUGGAAUAAUUUAUAUAAAAUUGUUUUAAUAACGGAAAAUAACGUAAAAACUACCUUUUCCAACGGAAAUUCGGAUUUUAAAAAUAUCCACGUAAAAUUAUACUAUUAAUAUUAAAACCAGGAAAAAGAAAUACAAAAAAAAUAAUUUCGUUUAUUUUUAAAAAAAAUUAUUUACGGUUUAGGAGAAAAUUAAAAACGGUACCGAAAACGUCCAAAAAAUUAUUAAUAAUAAUAGCAAUUAAUCCAACGUAAAAACCGCUUUUUAAUUUAGGGGUAAUUGCCCCUAAAACGAAUAUUAUACCAAGCGAUCGGACGAUUAAAAUAAUAAUUAAACCCGAAAAAUACCGACGUAAUAAACGAAAUAAAAAACCCAAAAUGCAAUUUAAUACGCUAAUAUCGAAUAAAACAAACCACGUUUAUAACCUGGUUAUUAAAUAUAAAAUAAGAAAUAAAAUUACAAUCCCACAAAUUUUAUUUAAAUAAUUAAACGCCGCCGAAAUCGAAAUAUUAUUAAAUGCGGGGAUUUUGUAACCAGUAUUAAAAAAUAACGUACGUGGCCGGAUUUUGGGCGUUAAAAUAAUAUAAAAAAUUAAAAAAACGCCGGAACGGCCGUAUAAAAAAUCGAAAUUAAUGGUUUAAAAUUAUAAUAAUUAGGAAAAAAAAACUUUUUAACGCAAACGUUAACAAUUAUAAAAUAUAAUUAACAUUUAAUUUUUUCGAUCGCACUAAAUUUAAUAAAACGUUGCGGGUAUAAAUUUAUAAUCCGAAAUAUAAAUUAAACGUAAACCCAAUUAAAAAACCAAUUAAUAAAAAGCGUUUUGGUGCGGAUAUUGAAAAAAUUAUAAUAUAAAUAUCCACGAAAUAUAUAUUUAAAAAUUUAUAAAUUAUUAUACGGCCUAACCGAAUUAAAUUUAUAUUAAUUUAAUAUAUAUUAACGUUAUUAUAAAAAACGGUUAAAUUGCAAAAUUUCGACUUAUAAUAUUUAUUUGUUAAUAAUAAAAAAUAACCCGUUUAAAUUCGUCGGAUUUUAAACGGAUAAUAUAUUAAAUUUGGACGAUCCAAAUUUUAUAAUAACGAAAAAAACAAAAUUCUAACAAACAAAAUUUUUUAUAAAAUUCCAAAAAGUCCUGCAGGAAAAUAAUAUAAAAAAUUUCAACGGUUGCAAAAUAACGUUAAAAAACGGUAUUAUUAUAAUAUAAUAAAAAAAACAAACAAAUU
rnacentral:sRNA from 1 species